AUGUUCUUUUCUAUUCCUUUCUAAUCUUUCAUAUCAACGAUUAGUCAUUCCUUAUAAGACAUUUCUUUCACUCUAUUUAAAUCAUCAAGAUUGAUAAGUUUUUUUUAUUUUUUUCUUUCCAAGCAAGCGGAUUAAGAAACUUGGGCACUCCUAGUUUCUUUGAUCUUCUUUCCCUGUAAUAUCUAGUCUCUUAGCAUUCAUGAAGCUGUUUUUCAACAACUACAGGACCCAGAAUUACUGUUCCAAGGAGUCUCAGGUGGGCAGCUUGCGGAGCUGUUUCGAUGAGCUCAACCUCAGCACUGCUGUUUAGAUCAUUGCAGGUAUUCUUUUCCAGUUGAUUUUGCCAGAAUUAAUAGUUGUAUUUUUCUCGUUUUGGUUUCAUUUUGGUUUCUUUGCGGUUUUGAAACGAGCGCGUAUUUUCAUCUUCAUGGUUCGCUCUGUACAGCUGAAGGCUUAGUGCAUGUGGUAUUUUUGUAAAUAUUUGUAUGUGGACUGUAUAAAUGUUUAAUGGGCCGGCCCAAAGUAUUUUUGUAAUUUUUUUUCCUUUUUUGUAUUUUUUUG